rnacentral:lncRNA from 1 species
CUAAUAAUGUACAAAUGACUAAAGAAGCAGCUCAAUUUUGCACAGACUUAUUUUGAGACUACAGGCUGAUAAAGGCUAAGACUUGGAUUUAAUGAGCUCUCAAUAACAUCUGAGAUUUUAUGAUUACCUGUCUGUAAAGUUUGUAGUAUACAGAAAAGGAUGGACAGCAUACAGGAUCAGGAGACCACAUGUUCGUAUUAACAAUUUCAAACACCAUCAUAAACAAGAUUCAGCGUUGCAUUCUGUUGUUGAAGGUAGAUGCAGGAGAAAGGCAGAAAACAUGGCAAAUUUUCUGGAAGCUUUUCACUGGAUUAUUUCCUUAGUUUUGAUGUAAUGUCUCCACACCCUUCAGAUAUCUUUCUGAAGAUCCCAAGACCCUUCAGCAGAAAACCUCUACUACAUACUUAAGAGGCAUCUUCAAAUCAACACUGCCAGAAACACUGCAGUGGUGACUCCUUCUUCUGAGGUCAGAACCCCAAGAGAUAAAAUUCCAUCAGGUGGGGAUAAAUAGGUUCCUCAGCUCCAAGUGAAG